rnacentral:lncRNA from 10 species
GGAAAAAGGAAGCUGCCACGUUGUGAGGGCACUUAAGUAACACCAAAAACAGGUCUAUGUGGCAAUGGAAUGAAGCACUCUGCUAAAAGCCAGUGAAACACUGAGGACUCCUGCAGUGGCAUAAUGAAUUCCCAAAAUAUCCCAAAUAUUAGCAUGAGGAAAUGUAUUUUGGAGAACACUCUUCACAUUGUCCACAUAUUUUCAUUCCAUGGUUAGUUGAAUCCAGGCAUGUGGAACCCUUGGAUAUGGAAGGCCAAUGAUAUUUUGCAUCUAUGAUCUUAUUGAAACCUAUUUACCAAGUCACGAGGAAAAAAGAGCUGAAGGACAAAUGAUGCUGACAAGGGGACAGUCAGAACCUGCAUACUUUGAAUGCAAUACCAGGGCACUAGUGCCAAGAGUUACAAAAGAAGAAGAGCCUUUUAACUUUGGCGGGAGUGCAGAAGGGAGGACCAAAAUUGUAAUUUGAACACAUUAUUGAGUAAGAUCAUAUAAUGGAAAAGGAGGAAACUGGUUUAAAGAGAUGAAAUAAAGGUAGAGGUUAAUUAGAACUACCAACAUAAAUAUAUGCCCUUUUAAAAGAAGAAAAUUUUUUCUUGCUCUGUCUUCACUCUUUUCUACUCUGAAUAUUUUAUAUGAAACAAUAUGAAGUGCACAUCUAAUGCCCAGAUUUUGGUCAUUAGCACUAUUUUCUACAAAAAAAAAACUUGGUGAAUAGGCCGUUCCACAUUUGGAGAAAAAAGAAUCAAGAUGAUCUAUGAGACACCCUGUCAGAAGGGGGUAGUGUUUAAAGAAUAAAGAGGUCAGUUUGAAGGGAAGGCUGCCAGAGGCCAUGUGCUGAUUAUUUUAUCAUCUAAAAGAAAAUAGUUACUAUAGUUAAAAAGAACUUUUAGUGUUUGUGAGAGUCCCUAAGCAUGCUCAAAAGGAAAUGUUUCAGAGAUAAGUCAAAUAUACUACAGGUUGAGCAUCCCUAAUCUGAAAAUCCAAAACGUUCCAAAAUCUGCAACUUUUUCAGUGCUCACAUGAUGCUCCAAGUAGAAAAUUCCACACCUGAUACCUUUGUUUUCUGAUGGCUCAAGUACACAAACUUAGUUUCAUACACACAAUUUAAAAAAAUAUUGUCUAAAAUUACCUUCAGUCUAUGGGCAUAAGGUAUACAUGAAACAUAAAUAACUUUCAUGUUUAGACUUGGGUCCCUUUUCCAAGAUAUCUCAUUAUGUAUGUAAACCAAAAAUAAAAUUCUAUGCCCCACAACAAUCUGAAUGGACUCCUCCUUUUGGCAAGGGCAUUCCAAAGUUAACCUGAAAAACUAGCUCAGGCCAUGAUGGGAAGGGGGAGUCAGACAGGCCUCAUUAUUCCCUCCUUCCUUUUGGAAUUCAGACACAGCUGAGCAGCAUUAACAUUAAAGCAGAUCUUAAGACUGAUAGAACAGAUGCUUUAAGUCUGAUUAGAAACAUUUACAAUCUAUUCUUUCUGAAGCUGCCACCUGAAGGCUUCAUCUGCAUGAUAAAACCUUGGUCUCCACUACUGCUUAUCUUAAAACAGACAUUCCUUUCUAUUGAUUCCAGAUAACAACUCAGCCAACUACCAACUAGAAAAUCUUUGAAUCUGCCUAUAACCUGGAAGGCACCUGCUUCCAGAUUUCCUGCCUUUCCAGAUGUACCAAACCAAUGUACAUCUUACAUAUAUCAAUUGAUGUCUUAUGUCUCCCUAAAAUGUAUAAAACCAAGUUGUAGUUUGACCACCUCGGGCACAUGUUCUCAGGAUCUCCUAAGGGCUGUGUCACAGGCCACUGGUCACUCAUAUUUGGCUCCAAAUGAAUCUCUUCAAAUAUUUUACAGAAUUUGACACUUCAUCAACACAUAUAUGCAAAUAUUCUAAAAUCCAAAAAACUGAAAUCUGAAAC